rnacentral:rRNA from 1 species
UGGGGAAUUUUGGACAAUGGGCGAAAGCCUGAUCCAGCAAUGCCGCGUGUGUGAAGAAGGCCUUCGGGUUGUAAAGCACUUUUGUCCGGAAAGAAAUCCUUGGCUCUAAUACAGUCGGGGGAUGACGGUACCGGAAGAAUAAGCACCGGCUAACUACGUGCCAGCAGCCGCGGUAAUACGUAGGGUGCAAGCGUUAAUCGGAAUUACUGGGCGUAAAGCGUGCGCAGGCGGUUUGCUAAGACCGAUGUGAAAUCCCCGGGGUCUCAACCUGGGAACUGCAUUGGUGACUGGCAGGCUAGAGUAUGGCAGAGGGGGGUAGAAUUCCACGUGUAGCAGUGAAAUGCGUAGAGAUGUGGAGGAAUACCGAUGGCGAAGGCAGCCCCCUGGGCCAAUACUGACGCUCAUGCACGAAAGCGUGGGGGAGCAAACAGGAUUAGAUACCCUGGUAGUCCACGCCCAUAAACGAUGUCAACUAGUUGUU